AACUGCGAUGCCUCCGCCACAUCGCUCUCUUCCUCUCGCGCCGCUGUUGUUCGUAUUCUUAUCGAGCAGCCCAGUGUGUGCUUCACUAGCAGACAAGGCUGGUGUGCCGUCCGAUUACGCAGAAGUACCGCACAGGUGGAUCGUCUUCGUGGAGGACGUCCGCUGAUAACGUUCUGGUGUCUUGCUCGGACCUGGAUGACCAAAGUGCGUCACUCUAUGAAGUGUCGUAUUCCGCGUGUCGUCACAGUUGGUGUCCUGUGAAUUGUGGAACAGGUGGAAGGAGUCUCCCUGUAACGUGAUUCUGAUCGACGUUCGUGAAGAUGAACUGAGCUGACGAAGCCCAUGUGAUGCAACCUGCAGAGGGUCCUGGAUAGCGUCAGGAUUUGGCCGUCUUGGUCUGCCUUCGGUCAUGCAAGGGUUAUCCAUCUGGCUGCUCUUCUUCAUACUGCUUCGAUCGCUGCUUGUGGUGGUUUCCGUUACGGCGCCGGUGUUACAUGGCCGGCACUUCCCGGCAGAGUCUGUGCCCUACACCCCAGGGCCGCCUUUUCAUCAAUCAUCUUUGCACAACGAGACUUGUACACUUCGAGGGGUUCCGCACUCGAUGGAACAUUUCAUGCGUCGGGCAGCAGUUGAGUGCUACAUGUACACUAACGGAUUACGGAAGGAGUUCAAGGGCAAGAUGUGCUACAAAGCACGCUUUCCAAAGAUCUGCCUGAACUGCACCCGGGAAAUGCCGAACAGCGAAGAUGACUGUCAUCUACCAGACAUCGAGGACCGCCAGAGCCCAUUGUUUAAGGCUUUCGAGACCAGGAAGAUAGCCUUAUUAUGGGUGGAGUGCGUGAAAAAAGCGGAGGCCUGCUGUCUGAAAAUGAUUAGCGAUCCACCGAGCAGCCGCGGCACAUACUGCACGCGCACUUGGGACGGUUUGACUUGCUUCGAGGACACAAAGCCAAACACCAAUGUUUCCAAAGUGUGCCCAUCUAUACUCUACAUUCACUCGGCUCCUUACUGCGAAAAUUACCUUACGAAAUGGUGCCACGCUAACGGGUCCUGGUACGAGUGGAACGGAGUACAGCGCACAUUUUAUGCCAGUUGCUCACCAAGGCCCUCGACGUACAUCCCUCUGUACCACUAUGCCAUUGGUCUCUUCUCGGUCUCGGUGGCUGCACUCGUUCCAGCGCUCAUAAUAUUCAACUGGUACAAAACUCUGCAAGUUCCUCGCAUCUCUAUUCAUAAGCACCUAUGCUUCUCGGUGAUGAUGUCAGCUGCGUUUUACAUAAUCGACCAUGCGGUGUUCACAUUAGAUGAUGCUAAGGCAGCCAACCAAUCCAAGAACUAUACCAAGAGAAACCUGUGGUGGUGCAAGGCAGUGAACGUUUUCACGCGAUACUUCAUGGCCAGUCAAUACGCCUGGAUGGUAUGUGAAGGCUUCUACUUGCAUCGUCUAGUAGCUUCCGCCUUCUCACAGCAGACGAAUCUCAUCUACUACUACGGAUUUGGCUGGGGGUUGCCUCUGAUACUGGUCAUCAUCUACUCCUCCCUUAGGGCUACCAUGGCAGACAUAAGAUGUUGGCGGAACAUCACAGAGUACGACUAUGUCUUCAGUGUUCCUAUAAUUGCAUGUCUCUUAAUCAACGUAUUUUUCAUGAUUCAUGUCAUCUACAUACUCGUGACGAAGCUACGGAAAAGCAACUUGAAUGAGAAGUCAAACUUUCAAAAAGUUGUUCGUGCAGUGUUAAUUCUUCUGCCCGUCUUUGGUUCCCAUUACAUCCUCACAACGUUUGUUUCGGCAAAGUCAUGCACUGAGUAUUCCAUCAAACAGUAUGCAGAGUGGACAAUCGUUGGUCUUCAGGGCUUCUUUGUGUCCUUGGUGUUCUGCUACUGCAAUGGUGAAGUUCAGGGCCUACUGCGGAGAUCGUAUGGAAGGGUUAAGACCGACCACUCGCUCAGCCGAAGGCAUCGUCCCAGUUCGCCGAAUACCACAAGUACAGCUGCUAUCUAACGAAUAUUUCACUUAGACACCUCCAUCCAUUUGACUGCACUGCGUUGCUCUCUUACAACAGUCGUUCAACCAUUUGUAGCCUACGAACACAGCUGAAAACGGGUACGUGCUCGCCCCAGCAAAGUGACAUCAGCGUGUUAUGUACGAAGGACGAAUACAUUGGCGAACUUGUAACAGAGACUGCUUUGUGUUGGUGCUGCAGAGUGAAUGGUGGACUCGACUAGUGCAUCACGACACCGCCGAAGAAAGGACUUGCACACGGUGACCAGCGGCGAAUAAACGACAUUUUAGAAGUA